rnacentral:lncRNA from 1 species
GGGCGGUCUACAUGAUCCCCUGUUGUCUGAACCUUAUAUUUCUAGUUAUAGAACGUUCUUUAGGAUCUCCUAUAUUGUUGUUUUUAUCAUGUAUAUAUAGCAAAGGACGUUCUACAGGAUCCCCUGUUGUCUGAACAUUAUAUAUAAACUAUAGAACGUUCUAUAGGAUACUCUAUUGUUUGUUUUUGAAGUAUCUAAUAGAGGAAUUUUUACGGGAUCCCUUGGUCGG